rnacentral:rRNA from 1 species
CGGGCGUCUUAACAUGCAAGUCGAACGGUAAGAGGGGAGCUUGCUCCUCUCCUAGAGUGGCGGACUGGUGAGUAACGCGUGGAUGAUCUACCUUUGAGAUGGGGAUAGCUUCUAGAAAUAGGAGAUAAUACCGAAUAACCUUAUUAUGUUAUGACGUAGUAAGAAAAUGGAGCGUCAGCUCCGCUUAAAGAUGAGUCUGCGUCCCAUUAGCUAGUUGGUAAGGUAAAGGCCUACCAAGGCGACGAUGGGUAUCCGGCCUGAGAGGGUGAACGGACACAUUGGGACUGAGAUACAGCCCAAACUCCUACGGGAGGCAGCAGCUGAGAAUCUUCCGCAAUGGACGAAAGUCUGACGGAGCGACACCGCGUGAACGAUGAAGGCCGGAAGGUUGUAAAGUUCUUUUGCAGACAAAGAAUAAGGAUAGAAGGAAAUGACAUCUGAUGACGGAUAGUUAUGCGAUAAGCCCAA